GAUGAACGCUGGCGGCGUGCCUAAUACAUGCAAGUCGAGCGAACAGACGAGGAGCUGGCUCCUCUGACGUUAGCGGCGGACGGGUGAGUAACACGUGGAUAACCUACCUAUAAGACUGGGAUAACUUCGGGAAACCGGAGCUAAUACCGGAUAAUAUAUUGAACCGCAUGGUUCAAUAGUGAAAGACGGUUUUGCUGUCACUUAUAGAUGGAUCCGCGUCGCAUUAGAUAGUUGGUAAGGUAACGGCUUACCAAGGCAACGAUGCGUAGCCGACCUGAGAGGGUGAUCAGCCACACUGGAACUGAGACACGGCCCAGACUCCUACGGGAGGCAGCAGUAGGGAAUCUUCCGCAAUGGGCGAAAGCCUGACGGAGCAACGCCGCGUGAGUGAUGAAGGUCUUCGGAUCGUAAACCUCUGUUAUUAGGGAAGAACAAAUGUGUAAGUAACUAUGCACGUCUUGACGGUACCUAAUCAGAAAGCCACGGCUAACUACGUG
rnacentral:rRNA from 1 species